rnacentral:rRNA from 1 species
AGUGAACGCUGGCGGUAGGCCUAACACAUGCAAGUCGAACGGCAGCACAGUAAGAGCUUGCUCUUACGGGUGGCGAGUGGCGGACGGGUGAGGAAUACAUCGGAAUCUACUUUUUCGUGGGGGAUAACGUAGGGAAACUUACGCUAAUACCGCAUACGACCUACGGGUGAAAGCAGGGGAUCUUCGGACCUUGCGCGAUUGAAUGAGCCGAUGUCGGAUUAGCUAGUUGGCGGGGUAAAGGCCCACCAAGGCGACGAUCCGUAGCUGGUCUGAGAGGAUGAACGGCCACACUGGGACUGAGAUACGGCCCAGACGGCUACGGGAGGCAGCAGUGGGGAAUAUUGCACAAUGGGAGGAAGCCUGAGGCAGAAAAGCCGCGGGCGGGAUGACGGCCUUCGGGGUGUAAACAGCUGUAGACUGUGACGAAGCGUGAGUGACGGUAAGGGGUAAAGAAGCACCGGCUAACUACGUG